rnacentral:lncRNA from 1 species
UGAAUGUCGUCUAUCAGCUCUAAGAAGCUUAUUUUGUACUAUGGAAUCUCAUGUCUGAGAGUGGUUUUACUAUGUUCCAUUACUUUGAGUUGUGCUUAACUCGAGAUUAACAAGAGGUAGGUUUGUUCACAUGCACUGAGCAUCAUGCUACUUCCAGUUCACAUUUAGGUGCCUGCUUGAACUUGAAAAUCUUUUGCUCUAGGCGCAGGAUUAAUUGAUUCAGUUGUGUGAAUUGUCUUUAUAGAUGCAAGUGGAUAGAACUUCAAAUUGCUUGCUUGCUCUGCUAAGGUAGGUUGAUAAAAUUCAGGUGAGUGCCAAAGCUUAUUUUACAUUCCAAGCAUCCUCUAUCUUACACAAGUGAUGCAUAAUUUGGUAUUGUGCAUGCAUGUCGUCUUGACAAUGGACCCUGCAUGCCAAAUUGAGGGUUGCUUGAAACCGUAGCAUUUGUGUCUGCUCUGAUGUUCGGCUUCGGUUAAACAUGCUGGCUUCUGCUUUGUGGCUGCUAGGAGGGGCAGGCAUUGAUUGCUGGCAUCAGCUAGUCUACUGGUUGUAAUGCAUCCUGUUGUAUAAUUGGAAUCAUAACAGAUUUGAAGCUUUUUAUAUAAUAGAAGGUUACUGCAUCUAUUCAGUUAACUGUGAGAUGGGGUUUACCUAUUCACGAUCCUUUGCUUACAUUAGAAGGUCAUUGCUUCUGUUCAGGAUUUAUGUUUAGGAACUACGGUUUGGAUUUGGUAACCCUGGUCUAAGAUAGUCCGACGCUCGUAACACUUGCGCGGUGGGUGCUUCUGCCCAUUUGGUGCCAUCCGUGAGUGACUGUCCUUGAAUAUAUAAUGUAUGACACCGGUUGUUCGAAGCCAUCCAAGACUGAGAAUGCUCAUGGAUGUCAAUUGUGAAAUGGAGGUGUUCGAAGCCAUCCAACUACAAAAUGGGCAACAAAUUGGUUAGCACUAAAUGAACUAUACAAGUGAAUAAAAGAAAGGAAGUAAGCGUUUCAAGUAGUACACAAACCUCCAUGACCUCACCACGAUGCAAGAUCCACUGCCGAGUAAUCUUUUGGUACUAUUACAUGUACUCGCCAUGGAAAAACCACCGGAAAAGCCACUGAUGCGGAUCCAUAAGGAACUCAACACCAUCUAUAUAUUGAUAGUCAAGACUCCUUGGCAGACGUGGAGCCUUGUUGAUCAUCAUCCUCUGCAUCAGCUCGAGGAGAUUAAUGACCUUGCUUUGAUCCAGUUUCCAUCAGCUCCAGAACUGACUAAGUACACGAUCCGGCCAGGACCA